AGAUUGAACGCUGGCGGCAUGCCUUACACAUGCAAGUCGAACGGCAGCACGGGGGCAACCCUGGUGGCGAGUGGCGAACGGGUGAGUAAUACAUCGGAACGUAUCCUGUAGCGGGGGAUAACCUCUCGAAAGAGAGGCUAAUACCGCAUACGACCUACGGGUGAAAGAGGGGGAUCGCAAGACCUCUCACUAUUGGAGCGGCCGAUGUCGGAUUAGCUAGUUGGUGGGUAAAAGCCUACCAAGGCUACGAUCCGUAGCUGGUCUGAGAGGACGACCAGCCACACUGGAACUGAGACACGGUCCAGACUCCUACGGGAGGCAGCAGUGGGGAAUUUGGACAAUGGGCGCAAGCCUGACUCCAGCCAUCGCCGCGUGAGUGAAGAACGGUCCGUUCGGGUUAGUAAAGUCGUUCGUUUCCGGACCGGGAACGUAAACGGUUCGUAGUACGUAACG
rnacentral:rRNA from 1 species